rnacentral:rRNA from 1 species
CAUGCUUUACACAUGCAAGUCGAACGGCAGCACGGGCUUCGGCCUGGUGGCGAGUGGCGAACGGGUGAGUAAUAUAUCGGAACGUACCCAAGAGUGGGGGAUAACGUAGCGAAAGUUACGCUAAUACCGCAUACGAUCUAAGGAUGAAAGUGGGGGAUCGCAAGACCUYRUGCUCCUGGAGCGGCCGAUAUCUGAUUAGCUAGUUGGUGAGGUAAAGGCUCACCAAGGCGACGAUCAGUAGCUGGUCUGAGAGGACGACCAGCCACACUGGAACUGAGACACGGUCCAGACUCCUACGGGAGGCAGCAGUGGGGAAUUUUGGACAAUGGGCGCAAGCCUGAUCCAGCAAUGCCGCGUGAGUGAAGAAGGCCUUCGGGUUGUAAAGCUCUUUUGUCAGGGAAGAAACGGUAGAGGCUAAUAUCCUUUGCUAAUGACGGUACCUGAAGAAUAAGCACCGGCUAACUACGUGCCAGCAGCCGCGGUAAUACGUAGGGUGCAAGCGUUAAUCGGAAUUACUGGGCGUAAAGCGUGCGCAGGCGGUUUUGUAAGUCUGUCGUGAAAGCCCCGGGCUCAACCUGGGAAUUGCGAUGGAGACUGCAAGGCUUGAAUCUGGCAGAGGGGGGUAGAAUUCCACGUGUAGCAGUGAAAUGCGUAGAGAUGUGGAGGAACACCGAUGGCGAAGGCAGCCCCCUGGGUCAAGAUUGACGCUCAUGCACGAAAGCGUGGGGAGCAAACAGGAUUAGAUACCCUGGUAGUCCACGCCCUAAACGAUGUCUACUAGUUGUCGGGUUUUAAUUAACUUGGUAACGCAGCUAACGCGUGAAGUAGACCGCCUGGGGAGUACGGUCGCAAGAUUAAAACUCAAAGGAAUUGACGGGGACCCGCACAAGCGGUGGAUGAUGUGGAUUAAUUCGAUGCAACGCGAAAAACCUUACCUACCCUUGACAUGUCAGGAAG